AACAAACGCUGGCGGCGUGCCUAAUACAUGCAAGUCGAACGGGGAAAGCUUUCGGGUGAGUACUAGUGGCGCACGGGUGAGGAACGCGUGGAUAAUCUGCCUUAGAGUGGGGGAUAACUAGUCGAAAGAUUAGCUAAUACCGCAUAAGACCACAAGAGCUGCGGCUUUUGAGGUCAAAGGUUUUUCGCUCUAAGAUGAGUCCGCGUAAGAUUAGCUAGUUGGUGAGGUAACGGCUCACCAAGGCGACGAUCUUUAACUGGUCUGAGAGGAUGAUCAGUCACACUGGAACUGAGACACGGUCCAGACUCCUACGGGAGGCAGCAGUAGGGAAUAUUGCACAAUGGAGGAAACUCUGAUGCAGCGACGCCGCGUGAGUGAUGAAGGCCUUCGGGUCGUAAAGCUCUGUCGCAGGGGAAUAACACAAUGAAGGUACCCUGUAAGAAAGGAUCGGCUAACUUCGUG
rnacentral:rRNA from 1 species